AGAUUGAACGCUGGCGGCAGGCCUAACACAUGCAAGUCGAGCGGCAGCACGGGUACUUGUACCUGGUGGCGAGCGGCGGACGGGUGAGUAAUGCCUAGGAAUCUGCCUGGUAGUGGGGGAUAACGCUCGGAAACGGACGCUAAUACCGCAUACCGUCCUACGGGAGAAAGCAGGGGACCUUCGGGCCUUGCGCUAUCAGAUGAGCCUAGGUCGGAUUAGCUAGUUGGUGAGGUAAUGGCUCACCAAGGCGACGAUCCGUAACUGGUCUGAGAGGAUGAUCAGUCACACUGGAACUGAGACACGGUCCAGACUCCGUACGGGAGCAGCAGGUAGGGGAAUAGUUGGACAAGUGGGCGAAAGCCUGACUCCAGCCAGUCGCCGCGGUGUGGUAGAAGUAAGGUCGUUACGGAUUUAGUAAAGCUAACGUUUAAGGUAGGAGGUAAGGUUAGUAAACCGUAAUUACGUUAGACUAACGUUU
rnacentral:rRNA from 1 species